rnacentral:lncRNA from 1 species
AUUCUCAGAGUCAGGAAAAGGGGCGAGAGGCCACAUGUCUCCCUCUCGCCAAACUGAAAACGAAACGGCGCUCCAGCAGAUUGGGUGGAAAGAGCUGUGUCUGUUUUCUCUGUUUUUCACGCUAGAAAGGGCUUGUAAACAUUGUUCCUUUUAAAAUGACCUACCCCGGGAGGUUUGGGCACACUUCUGUCCUGGGGUCAUCGUUCGUAGGUGGCUUCGGACCUGGGACUUUGAUUUCCUGUAUCUGCACAUUGUCGUUUUAUACACAAUUGCCAAGGUAGGACUGCUUUCAACUUUACUGUGCUUGAAGCUGCAAAGCGGAUCCUGUUACAGUGCAAAGAAGAAAUGGCAAACGGAUAACAGCUACUGUGCCUAGAAGAUGGUUCUGCCCUGAUGUUUCCUGGAAUAAUGCUGAGGACUGCCUUUCGGGUAGCCUCCCUAUUCAGUUCACUUCAUCUCGGAAAUACCUGACCCCUGCCUUGGAUCCAGCGGCCCUCCUGAGAGCUGAGGAAGGAGGAAAUCCUACAUGUCUGCUCCCGGAGCUGCCACAACCCAUCUUCCCACAACUCGGAACUUGGAAAAAGGAACCCAGGACACGACUUUGCUUUUCUUUUGGACCUAGUUGGUGAUUAUACUCUGUCUCCCAUGGAGACCACGUCUUGCAUCCUUCCUUCUAUAUGGGAUUUAGGAUAGAAAUUAAAAAGAAAACAUAUUAUUUUGAGUCUUGAUUUGGAGAAAGGUAGUAUUCAGGAGGAAGUAGGCUAUGAUACACAUAGAAAAUUUGAGGACAGUGUUACUUAACAAGGACAUUUCUGUCUCUGCAGAAGUCACAGCUUGGAGGAAACCAGUUU